rnacentral:lncRNA from 1 species
CCUGUGUGCAUCUGUGGGACAGCCUGGCCACAGCAGCCUCUUCCCUCCCCUCAGGUGUUUGGCACUCUGGAGCAAGCCAAGAAGUACAUGCUGGACAACUACUCAGCAGUCAGGUCACCAUGGAGGACGUCUUCCUGAGCUUCGCCUGCCCUGUGCCCCUAGUCCAAAGUGAAGACCAACGAGAGCAAGCAGAGCAGAAUCCCCUGCCCAGAUGGUUUGUCCAUCCAGUGCACUCCCUCCCAAGGCAGGCCAUGCCGCCCAACGCACCCUGAGAUGCGAGAUGCAGCAAAGCAGUGGCUCUGCAGAACUUCGGGUAGAGUUUGGAUGGGUGCGUGGAGGUUUCCACACAUGUGUGCAGAUCCCUUGGAAAGCAGGAUAGAGCCAGAAACAGAGAGGAGGGUGCCCGUAGGCCGGUGGGGGCUGGCUCCCAUGGUCACAUGCAAGAGUGAAGCUUCAUGGAGACCAUGAUUCGAAACUCACACCUGGCCUCACAGGUGGUCAUGUCACUGUUCUUCUGAAGGAAGGAGGAAAUAAAUAUUGACAAGUUUGCUAGCCUAAGUCGGG